UAGCACCUGAUGAGAAAAUUAAACUGAAACGUUGUCUUGCUCUAUUUUUGAGCUCUACGAUGUUAUUAAGGGAUGGUCGCAUUAGCGAGGCAUUUGUCUGAUGCUUAU